GAGAGUUGAUGAGAGUUGAGAAGCGAGAGUUUGCAUAAGAGUUGAGAGCAUCAGCCAACCCUCGUCAACUCUCAUGCAAUUCUUGUUCGAGUUGAGAGAACUCUCAUGCAAACUCUCGCUUCUCAUCCUCGAUUGAUCAAG